CAACGUCACGCGGAGCCGCAGCCAUGAAGCAGAUGACCAAAGCGCCAGACAACAUUCGAGAGCGCACGCAGCUCGCACGCGCACAAUUAUCAAUUGCAAUCCGUCCUUCUGAUCAUUGAUGCUCGUGGCCUGGAGAAAGCCGUUAUGAGAGAGAUUUUGCAUGAGGGGCACGUUACACAGGUCCCAGUUCAACCCUUGUUGGGUUUCUCAGAUGGUGGAAGAGGACAGGUGGCCGGAGGGGUUGGCUGUUAUCUUUGGUUAUCUAGCUGUAUGAGUGAUAUUCAUUCUUCAUAAAGCUAGAUAACCGAAAGUAACAAGAAUCCCAUUACACACCUGAAAGGCAUCACCCACCUUGUGAUCUGUACUCCUCCCUUCCCCUCUUCUCUUUUCUUCCCUAAGUCUCUCUCUCUCUCUCUCUCUCCCUCAAUCUCUGCAUCAUCUUGUGAGAGCAAGUCACAAAAUGGCUUCCAUCAGUACUGAUAGGAAAGACUGACAAUCAGUCUCUCCAUGAUGCCAGGAAAAGAAAACGGUGAAGAAAGCGGGGCAGGUCAGUUGUGUUGCAGUUUUCCCAUUCUGAGUCCUGCUGGCGUUGCUGCUCCCCUCCCCUUUGCUGCUCGCCUGCCCCCUUCCUCUCAUCACAAGAUGCAGCUUGCACAAAGCCACCAUCUUAGAGCAUGUGGGCAUUAAAUGGAUGUGGAAAAUAAGCAGUUUUUCAAUUCGAGUCGAAUAUCCUGGAAUCCAUUAAAUGAAGGGUUGAUUCGAGUACCGACUGCUGAUGGAGUCACACGGGUUUUUUACUAUGCAUGUGCCCCAACAUCAGAUAUAAAUAGCACUUUAAUUGUUCAUUAUAACUUCAAUCUUGGCAUUUGGGAAACCUUUAGUACCUACUGUUACAGGGGCCAUAUGUUCCAUGAGUCGUGUGUGUUUGUUUGAUGUGUGUUUCUAAUUUUCAGUGUGUGUGUGUGUGUGUGUGUGUGUGUGUGUGUGUGUGUGUGUGUGUGUGUUGACUGUCAAGAAGAUGGGAGGGGAUAAUGCAAGAAACUUACUGUUAUACAUGUGUGGGUCAAAGUACACAAAUUGUGUAUUUCAACAAACACACUUAGAAUUCUCAGCGUAAAACGGUUCUAUUCAAAUGGUUCUACUGUGGAGUUUUUGUAGAAAAUGAGUCUUAAAGGUCAAUCAUUUAAGUACAUUUUUUGGCAAAAAACAAGGAAAAUUAAAUAAGAGAAAGAUUAGGCUAUAAAUCUUAAAAACAAAUUUAAGGCAGGUCAACACUAAUAUGUCUUGGUAGACUGUUAUGAGUACAAUCUUGAGCAUAGUGCACUUUAUAAAGUCACAUUUUUUCACACAGAUUUUUUUUUUCUCAAUAGAUUUCAAUAUUAAAAGGAAAAUGUAGAGACUGCUGUUCUAGAAACUGGCUUGUUACUUUCUGUGUGCAUCCUAAUGUAUUUCUCUAAUAACUGAUUAUUAAUUGAAAUAAUAAUGUAUACUGUAACAAUGUGUGAGGCUCGGUAGAUUCUGCAUGUAUGAAUGUGAGACCCACGGCAGCAGUGAACAGUACUGCACUCUGAUUGGACAGCUCAGUGUGUUGUGCAUCACACACUUGUUGGAAAGAGAGCUGUUGUCUUUAAUUUCUAUGCAAUUGCGUUGAGCUUGCAAUCACCUGAAAGAGAAUGCAGAUCAGAGCAGUUGAUUAUGACUCAAACUACUUUACUUGAGACAUUUACUGACAGUAGAUUAAAUCUGUUUUAAAGUGAGAGGAAGAGAAAAUGUUAAGCUGUUAUAUGCCCACUAAAACAAGUUUCAAUAAACUAUAAACUAAACAUCCUUUUAGCUUUUAUUUUUUUAUGUUAAAAUGUAGUUUCAGGACUCAGUUUUAAAGGGGAUUAAAUGCUCUGUCUCUCUGUAUUUUGUAUUACAAUCAAUUAAGAGAAAAAUCACAAUUGCUAUGCAAAUGUUAUAAAGUAAGAAUUUAUUAGAGUUUGAAGAGAACUGUGCAAUCUAUUUUAUAAACAGUUUUAUUUCUGAAAAUUAUUUUUUAUGCAGCAAUAUUUUAUCAAAAGAGAUCUGUUUUAAAUGUGACAAAUCAAGUGAAUGUGAAGACAAUGAAUUUAUUAAAUGGGGCUUUUUACUAUGCAAUUUUUUAAAAUCUUCAAUAAUUGUGUGUUCUUUGUGUAAUUAUGUAACGAGUCAUGAUUUUCAGUUGGUCAUAGCUCUGUAGUAUUAAUGCUAAUAAUUAAAAUCAUGUUUUCAUUUAAUUUUUAACUCUUUGAUUUUAUUCUUUUCCCUAUUGUAUGUUUCUUUCAAGUUGCUGAUGAGUGCAAAUGUGAGAUUGUUUUGUAUAUUAUUUUACACAUUUUUGUAGUAUCACCAUGUGCCUUUUAACAAUGUCCUGUUAUGGAUAUUAAUAAAAGUUUACUUUGAA